GAAAUCCCCAUCAGGGUCCUGAAUAAGUUCUUCAUUUUCACCUGCCUGAAGGAGCUGCCUAAAGAUCUGCAAGGGCACAGCCUACUGGUCACCUCCUCCAGCGCCAUCGCCUCUCUCCAGCCGCCCACACUUGCUCCUGCAGCAACACCUGCAGACCACCUCAACCCUGACAGCACCUCCAUGAGAGAAGAUGACCUCCCCAACCUCACCGGGAGCCCGAUGGCUACAGAGAAAAGCUGCAACAGCGCUGAAGCCACCACACACGUCACCGACUGACAAGUCAUCAUCCAGUCUGAGCCAUCCUCCACAGCCAAGUCAGCCUCUGCAAGAGGAGCAGCCUGAGAAACCCUCGUGGUGAAGAACUUGAAUAUCUUCCAGACCAGCUCUGCAAAGGGCUGGGGAAAGACCAGGCACCACGAGUUCGUAGUGCCCAGGUUGCCAAGUGGACGAUGCUUUUGUUGUGUGGAUGGCAUCUUGUGACCCCUGCCUCAGGGCUUUGGCCGGUCGCCAUUUGGGGCCAGGAAGGAAUUUUUUCCCCCUUCAUUUACGGAACCAACUUCUGGGGGUUUUUCGCCUUCCUCUGAGGCAUCGGGACAUAGUCAGACCAUCCCGGCGUCUGUUGUGUUAGUAGCCUGUCCUUGAAUCCAUCAAGAGCCAUUCAGGGAGUGAAGACAGCAAAGGCAUAAACCAUGUGCACUGUUGAACAUUGAUUUAGUGUAAUGUGUAAUGUUGAACAUAGAUGUUAUAGAAACUAAGAGUAGAUGUAGGAUAAUAAAGUUAAGCUUUAGUUUUCUUUUCUUAUAA